rnacentral:rRNA from 1 species
ACGAACGCUGGCGGCGUGCCUAAUCCAUGCAAGUCGAACGAGAGCGACCGGUGCUUGCACUGGUCAAUCUAGUGGCGAACGGGUGAGUAACACGUGGGUAACCUGCCCAUCAGAGGGGGAUAACAUCCGGAAACGGAUGCUAAAACCGCAUAGGUCUUCGAGCCGCAUGGCUUGAAGAGGAAAAGAGGCGCAAGCUUCUGCUGAUGGAUGGACCCGCGGUGCAUUAGCUAGUUGGUGAGGUAACGGCUCACCAAGGCCGUGAUGCAUAGCCGACCUGAGAGGGUGAUCGGCCACAUUGGGACUGAGACACGGCCCAAACUCCUACGGGAGGCAGCAGUAGGGAAUCUUCCGCAAUGGACGCAAGUCUGACGGAGCAACGCCGCGUGAGUGAAGAAGGUUUUCGGAUCGUAAAACUCUGUUGUUAGAGAAGAACAAGUGCUAGAGUAACUGUUAGCGCCUUGACGGUAUCUAACCAGAAAGCCACGGCUAACUACGUG